rnacentral:lncRNA from 1 species
AAAAAUCAUUUUCUAUUAACAAGAACAAAAAAAUUCUUUCAGGUAAAUUUUUUCUGUCAGAAUUUCUUAUCGAACAAAAAAAAACAUGAAAAAAGAAAUUACUUUGAUAGAGGGAGAUCAUCUUCGUCCUUUGGAACAGAUGCAACAUAACAUAUAUUUGGAUGGUACAUAAUCAAAAGGGUUCACCGGAGAGAUCUUUUGUCACGGACAGAAUAUGAAAUCAAGAAAGGAUCGCAGCAGAGCAAGAAGGAGGAGAUGCCUUGGGGUUUGCUUGUCAUCUAUAUUGACGUGGUUUACGUUUUCAUCAUCGAUGUUGUUUGUGUUGUUGUCUCCAUUUUCGUUGUCGUCUAUAUUGAUGUCUCCAUCGUUAUCGCCAUUACACACUCCAAACUCAAAUAUUUUUUUGUGAGAGAAAUAAUUUGUUGCAUCUCUUUACUAAACAAAAGGAAAAACCUUUGUUAGAGAAGAAAAAUUGAAAGCCACGAAGAUGAUAGAUUUGGUU